UAAUACGUAGGUGGCAAGCGUUGUCCGGAAUUACUGGGCGUAAAGCGUAUGCAGGCGGACCUUUAAGUAGGCAGUGAAAGGUUGGAGCUCAACUCUAACACGGCUAUCUAUACUGGAGGUCUUGAGGCUCGGAGAGGAAGAGGGAACGACACGUGUAGCGGUGAAAUGCGUUGAGAUGUGUCGGAACACCUAUGGCGAAAGCACUCUUCUGGACGGGACCUGACGCUGAGAUACGAAAGCCAAGGGAGCAAACAGGAUUAGAUACCCUGGUAGUCUUGGCUCUAAACGAUGUUCACUAGGUGUCGGGGAGUAUUCUUCGGUGCCGCAGCUAACGCAUUAAGUGAACCGCCUGGGGACUACGGCCGCAAGGUUG
rnacentral:rRNA from 1 species